GUAAAAGGGUUGAACCAGCUGCCCUUUGACCCUGCCAACAACAACGAGCCCCUGCAGUUUGGUAGUGCCAGUGGCCCUCUGGUCACAGAAGGCCUCAUUGAGAAUGGAGGGGAGUCAAGCAAGAAAGAAAGAGAACAAAUGCUCCUUCAGAAUGUUCCAUUGAAUAUUUUUGGACCAAAUUUGACCCUGGGUAACUGAAACCGCAGAGAGCAAAACCAUGGAUACUAUAUUUUAUGAUAAAGAAUGUCUAACAUCUUAUGUCAAGAACUGAAGUAACGGUGAAGCAGUAUACCAGAAGGUGACAAAGUAAUUGUGUAUAUGUUGACCAUUCUAGGUAUUUCAACACAGAAAGAAGUAACCACCUAAUUUGUAGUUUUCUUUUUCUCUGCUCCAUUUCCUGAUAUCCAUUUUACUACCUAUUGAAAUAAAAGUCCAUGAUGAUGAAAUUUCCUCAAAAGGAUUGGGAGACAGUCUUGAUUUUGUUUUCCUAUCUCAAUUUCCUUGAUAAUAGGAGCUAUUUAGUUUAAACCAUGCAGGCUGUGGUAUUUCCAUUGAGCAAUUGCUUGUGUAAUAGAAUUAACUUUAAAAUAUUUUGCUUCUCCUACAUUUGAAUUUUAAGCAAAAGCAGCUUUCAUGUGUAAGCUGUUUUAUGGGAUGUGGUAAGUGAGGGUUGAGAAGA
rnacentral:lncRNA from 1 species